GGAGUCCUGAUUGUACUACCGAUCCAACUCUCAACCCAAGGUUGAUUUAAGUCUCAACCCACGCGCUGGUCCCUUCCUCCCCCACACAACCCCCUUUUAGCCCCUUCCGCCUCUCACGUCCUCUGUUAUCAUCUUUUCCACGAUAAUUCUAUCCAACCCUUCUGCAAGCGCCGGCCAUUGUGUUUGAAGUAUCUAUCUUUCGGAUAAUGGCACCGGAGCACGAGCAUGUCUCGGUUGCCGUCAUGGCGGACGACGCUGCCGAUAGGGCGAAGAGGCUUAUCCUCGCUCUCCAUCAUUACGAAGAUGUGCUCGGUGCUGAGGUUGUAGCGAAUGCUAUGGCUGAUGGCACAAGGCUUGGCGUUAACAGGGCAGUAAGCGGUCAGCUUACCACCAUGACACGUAGUGAGGCUGAUAUGUACGCUUCUGCUGCCGCCUCAGGUGGCGUGGCGGCUGGACUUCAAGCCAUGGCUAAUGGCUUUUCAAGGAUUAGGAUCGAAAGCAACGGACGUACACAAAUUUCAAUUGAUUUUUUGCUGAGUUGUGAUUAUUAAUUCAGAUUUUAUGAAUUUCUAAAAGACUACUUCAAAUCAUUUAGCAUUAUAAUUAUUGUGGAUUUUGUUUAUAGCAAGGAUCACUGAGUGCACACCGGGCCAAGCAUGAUGAAAUCAAUAUCGUUGCUGCCACCGAUACACGGGUAAGCGGUAAUACAACCAUUUUUUUGAUUAUUUUUACCCCCUCAGUCCAACAAAGGAUGUCUCAACUUUGACUAAAUUUGAAUGCAUCUAUACACAAAGUCAUGUCUAGAUACAUCCAAAUAUUGAUAAACUUGAAACAUCUUUUGUUGGACGGAGGGAGUAAUAGAUUUAAAUGUUAUCUUCUAAACUUUUUUUCAUAAAAAUUCAUAAUCUGUUUUUUGGAUUUAACAUCUUACUGAAUCCAAUCUGUAAAAUAACUUCUUAUACUUCAAGCACGACGACGUAUUAGAUGAAAACCUCUAUUUAGUGCAAACUUGAAAACUUCCCGUCGCAGCCAUUAGAUCUCAAAUAUACGGUUUAGAUGAAAAGGGGAACCUAUAACCACUUAGACAUUUUAUGAAAAACCCACGAGUUAGGAUUCUCUAAGGGAUUUUCAUAAAAUGCAUUUAAGUGAAAGUUUUACCUCAUCCGUUUAUUUAUGGUCUAAUGGAUAUGAUUGGAAGUUUUCAUGUUUGCACCGAAUAGAGAUUUUCACUUAAUACGUCGCCUUCAAUGACAAUUAUGUUGGUAAAAUAAUUAUGAUUAUCAUGUUGAGAAAGUUUACAAGAAAUACAUAAAUUAAUUGUGAGACAUGAAUCUUACAUGUUUGUUCAUCAUAACCUCUAAAUUAAAGUAAACACCAUACAUGUAAAAUCUUUACUUUAAAUAAUUAUAAAUUAUUUCUUCAUGUACAUUUACUUCAUUUUGUUUCUUUAGUAAGGAAUUUAGUGCUACAUUUUGGUACAGGUAAUGGUUGAACCUAGUUUUUAUGAAAUAUAAAUACUCCCUCCACGUCCCAUAUUAAGUGCCUAAGUAUUACAUGUAUUUAAUUAGACGUAUUUUAGUAUAUAGAUUCAUCCAUAUUUAGACAAAUUUGAAUCACUUAAUAUGGGACGGAGGGAUUGGUGUUUCAAAAUGUAUUCAUGUUUUCUGAUUGUAUAUAUACACUCAUGUGCUAAUAAUCUAAUAUAAUAUAUACAUAUAUACAAAUACACAUACCAAUUUUAAUUACUCACAUUGAAUAUAAUUUAUCUUAGUAUGUAAAAAGCUAAUCGGAAUUGUAUUGUAUCUUAUUGUUAUUUCAAUUUGGGAGAGAAACAACUCGUUGUUUAGCCGUUUCAUUCUGGCAUUUUUUGUGGUGAUGGCUACAAUUUUAGUAUCUGUCGUUGUCUUUAGAGGUGUUAAGUAAUAUGGUGUUUAAUAUCAGUUUGUUGACUAUUGUUAAUCUAUUAUUUUUGUAAUUUUUUUGUGUCUAUAUUAUGUUCGCAAUUAUAUUUUCA